GGAAGUAAAAAUCGUAACAAGGUCUCCGUAGGUGAACCUGCGGAGGGAUCAUUAGAAUAACUUUCUUCAACAGAGAGAGCGUGGUUUACACCGUGUCUCUUUUACUUUUAAACAAAACGAACAUUGACAAAUCCUAACCGAUAACAAUGACUUUCAAAACAAAACAAACAAAACAAAACAACAAAACACGACUCGCAACAACGGAUAUCUUGGUUCUC
rnacentral:misc_RNA from 1 species